UAAGGGAAAAUGGAUUAUUAGUUUGAUGCAGUGUUGGCCACACACAUCACUCGCACUAAUAUAUUCAUAUUCAGUAAUACAUGUAUCAAUCAAAGAUUUUAAAUCUCAACGACCAUUAACAACAAAGAUUUUGUAAAGAUAUAUUGUAGGAUGGGGCGAAGCUAUUCUAUGUUGGCAGUAAUUAAUUAGAUAUGUAUAUAGACACCAAAUAUUGGAAGCAAUUAAGAAGAUUACGCGUAAUAGGGACGCAUAUGUGUGAUAUAAAAAGUAUUUUAGGGUACCAAUUAAUUAAAAUAUGAAAAUUUAGGAGGCAAUGAAUAAAAGGUUAUCCGAGAAAAUAUAUUCUGCAUGUCAUGUAACUAUUAUAAUAGUGAUAUCUGCGGGCAUAACCAAACUUUAGAUAUAUAUAAACAAAAUAAAUGUGGGAAAUAAUAAAAGGCAGGAAUGAAUCUAAGAGAUUUUAUAUUAUAUAUAAACUACAAGGUCAACCUGUCUUGAACAAAAUAAAAUACAAACCAUCUCUCAUGGCACAUAUCAAGAACACGGCAACAGCUCUAUGCUUGGUAGGUCUUGUGAUGAUGUCUACCACUCUAUUAUCAUGUCACGCAGAUAAAAAACCAAUCCCCAUCAUCGAUUACUGUAUUCAUUUUGUAAGCUGCCACAAAGAUCAUGCAUCCGAAGAGGCGUGCCUGAAUCACUGCAAGUUUUUUGGACACAAUAAAGCCCACUGCGUACCGGAUGGUGGUGGCAUUUGCUGCUGCGAUGUUUGAACGCCAUACAAGUAAUGGGUAGAAAGUAUUCUUGUGCUCAAGACGUUCAGGCGUGUAAGAUCGGGCCAAUUAGUACACAUGUGCACUAUGGAUCGAUCUGAUUCAUGCGAAAGAAAACAUCAAUAAACCAUUGUUUGUACCGAA